rnacentral:tRNA from 1 species
GGCUCGGUAGCUCAGUAGGUGAGAGCGGUCGCACGGUUUGGGAGAGUCCCGGGUUCGAGUCCCGGUCAAGCCU